rnacentral:rRNA from 1 species
UGGGGAAUAUUGCGCAAUGGGCGAAAGCCUGACGCAGCAACGCCGCGUGAGUGAUGAAGGCCUUCGGGUCGUAAAGCUCUGUCGGAGGGAACGAAUGCUCCUGAAGUUAACAGCCUCAGGAGGUGACGGUACCCUCAAAGGAAGCACCGGCUAACUACGUGCCAGCAGCCGCGGUAAUACGUAGGGUGCAAGCGUUAAUCGGAAUUACUGGGCGUAAAGCGUGCGCAGGCGGUUGUGUAAGUCAGAUGUGAAAUCCCCGGGCUCAACCUGGGAAUUGCAUUUGAGACUGCACGGCUAGAGUGUGUCAGAGGGGGGUAGAAUUCCACGUGUAGCAGUGAAAUGCGUAGAUAUGUGGAGGAAUACCGAUGGCGAAGGCAGCCCCCUGGGAUAACACUGACGCUCAUGCACGAAAGCGUGGGGAGCAAACAGGAUUAGAUACCCACGUAGUCCCUGAGCGGGCUGGCAAGGCGCAU